rnacentral:lncRNA from 1 species
AGAGACUGAGGGAACGGGUUGGAUUGAAAACCGAGAACAUCUUGGCAGGAUGUGGCUUUUCAGGGGGUAAAAAGAUGGAUUUCAUCAUUUCUUUAUCAAUCAAGUCAAACACAGCUGUUCUUAAAUGGUCAGUGGGAGUCUCUCCUGGAAAUCUGUCAUCAUCUAUUUCCGAAAACUCAGAAGGUGGUAUAACAUUCUGAAGUGCCUUGGGUUUCCUUGAUGGAGCCAUGAUGAACCAUGUUGCCAUCACAGUGGCCAAAAACCUGUUUAUCAUCUCAGCGAAUAGGAACAAGCUGAACAGACUUCUUGCUUUCAGUAUGGGUGCCCUGGUGAUGAACAGAGUUAAGAAACACAAUCUAGAACUAAGAAUGAAGGGACCUAGAUCAGUGGCAGUCCAAGAUAAAAGGGCAUACUGAAGAAAAGAAGCUGGCAUAGGCUAGACAUGGUACUCCACUCACUUGAGAGGUAGAAGAGGAAGACCAGGUGUUCAAGGACAACUUUGUGUAUAUAUUGAAAGGCGAUGGAAGAGCCUGACUAUCAAUCAACUAAGCACCAACCAAACAUGGGUUCAAAUCUUGUGAAUAACCCUUUCAAGCUGAUGGCUUACUGUUCACAUUUCUUGUGUUUUCACAAGGUACAAUUGUUUUAGUUUUAGUUUUCCUUGGACAACGCUAACUGGAUUUAGUGGAUUGUAUAUACAAAGAAGGAAGAGGAGGAGGAGAAAUAAGGAAACAUGAAGUUGAAUGAGGGAUGUGUUGGAGGUUACAGGAGGAGUUGAAAGAGGAAACUGAUAUGCUUACUGACAUAUUUCAUUUUGUAUACAUCUAUGAAGCCAUCAAAGAAUAUGAUGAAGAAACGUUCCAUGUUUUCAGUUUUAUCACUG